UACGUAGGGGGCUAGCGUUGUCCGGAAUUAUUGGGCGUAAAGAGCUCGUAGGCGGUUUGUCGCGUCUGCUGUGAAAACUCGGGGCUCAACUCCGAGCUUGCAGUGGGUACGGGCAGACUAGAGUCCGGUAGGGGACCACGGAAUUCCUGGUGUAGCGGUGAAAUGCGCAGAUAUCAGGAAGAACACCCGUGGCGAAGGCGGUUCUCUGGGACGGUACUGACGCUGAGACGCGAAAGCGUGGGGAGCGAACAGG
rnacentral:rRNA from 1 species